CGGGGUGGGCCCCGGCGAGAGGGCCCGCCCGGCGCGGCUCUGGUGCGCGGUGCCGUGCCGCUCCCCUGCGGGGCCGAUUCCGCUCGUGGCUCCGCCGUGCGCCGGGCAGCCUGUCCGCCGGAGAAAAGUAUUCCAAACCGAGAAAAGCAGAGGCUCUCUCUACUGAGCCUGGGGACAGCUGCUGGAAUAAGAAAAUGCAAAACAGUCACUAGAACAACAGAACCUCUGAACUCAGCAACUGAAAUUUCCAAUUACAGACGUGCUGCUGUUUCUCCUCCCUCAUCACAGCUGUUUAGCUUGAUCACUCCCCCAGCCCCAGUGGGACGACCAGCGUGAAGGAUGCGGUGCCAGGCAUGCUCCGACAGCCAAAUCAAAGGCCCAGCCAAGCCUGUGCCUCAGCGAUGAGUCUGGAGGAAAUCAGAGGCCCUCAUUAAAGUUUCAGAAAAACCUAACCGGAACUGGCUCCUCCUGGUUUGUGCCUGGGAUAAGAGGCUCAGAGACCAUCCUGACAUCACUGUGACCACGAUUUCACCAGGCUGACGUACUGCGAGAAUUCUCUGUUUGAGAUGAAUAAUAGGUUGAAUAUGGUAUGUGACGGCUCUGUAGACUCCGAAGAUAUAACAUGAACAAAUAUAUUGUUCUGGAAAGCUGGCAUAAGAACGUUACUGAGGAUUUAGAAGGAUCUUGACUACCAGACAGGAAUUGAAAACUGGAUGGGUUUCCAUCUCUGUAGUAAUCAUCUCACGAUGCGGUCCCAGUCUGAAUGCACCGAGAGCUGGCCCCUGUGCUGCAUGCUGUGUGUGUCAGAGGCUCCGUGAAGAUCACAUACUUAUCCAAGUACUUAUGGCAUUCAGCUGAAGGAGUCCCCUCCCUGCACUCCUGCUCCUCGUAGCCAGAAGCGUGUCUCUGAGUCCAGAUGGCCCCGUUCCACCACUCUCUAGCCAUUAGUUUGUAUUCAGUAUUCAUAAUUGCUUCGCUAACUGAGAAACUUUACAAUCUGUUGCAGGCCAUUAUAUGCAAAACCAUGCCCAAAUAAUUGAUCCCCUGCCAU